UACAGAGGUCCCAAGCGUUGUUCGGAUUCAUUGGGCGUAAAGGGUGCGUAGGUGGCGCCAUAAGUCAGGUGUGAAAUUUCGGAGCUUAACUCCGAAACUGCAUUUGAUACUGUGGUGCUUGAGGACUGGAGAGGAGACUGGAAUUUACGGUGUAGCAGUGAAAUGCGUAGAGAUCGUAAGGAAGACCAGUGGCGAAGGCGGGUCUCUGGACAGUUCCUGACGCUGAGGCACGAAGGCCAGGGGGAGCAAACGGGG
rnacentral:rRNA from 1 species